UACGAAGGGGGCUAGCGUUGCUCGGAUUCACUGGGCGUAAAGGGUGCGUAGGUGGCGAGGUAAGUCGGAUGUGAAAGCUCGGAGCUCAACUCCGAAAUGGCAUUGGAAACUACCUUGCUCGAGGGUUGGAGGGGGGACUGGAAUACUUGGUGUAGCAGUGAAAUGCGUAGAUAUCAAGUGGAACACCAGUGGCGAAGGCGAGUCCCUGGACAACUCCUGACACUGAGGCACGAAAGCUAGGGGAGCAAACAGG
rnacentral:rRNA from 1 species